rnacentral:rRNA from 1 species
GACGAACGAUGGCGGCGCGCUUAACACAUGCAAGUCGAACGGAAAGGCCUGCUUUCCCUUGUGGAUUGCGGGUACUCGAGUGGCGAACGGGCGAGUAACACGUGAGUGAUCUGCCCCAAACUUGGGUAUAAGCCUGGGAAACUGGGUCUAAUUAUCGAUAGAACUGCAGGGUGGUGCCUGUGGUGGAAAACGAUCUUUUAGUGGUUGGGGAUGAGCUCGCAGCCUAUCAGCUUGUUGGUGGGGUAAUGGCCUACCAAGGCGGCGACGGGUAGCCGGCCUGGGAGGGUGGACGGCCACAUUGGGACUGAGCUACGACCCAGACUCCUACGGGAGGCAGCGGUGGGGAAUAUAGGACACUGGGCGGAAGCCUGAUGCGGCGACGCCGCGUGGAGGAUGACGGCCUUCGAGUUGUAAGCUCCUUGCGACCGCGAAGAAGGCACCUGGUUGGAAGGGUGGUGACGGUAGUGGUAGAAGAAGCACCGGCUAACUACGUG